CGCUGAUCGCUAUCGUGACUGUUGGCCGGGAUUUUCUUUAUUGCAUCACUAUUUAUGAGUCAGUGUUCUUAUUGUUUCAGGGCGACACACCUCGAAAGUCUUGCCCGGCGACGUCAACGAAGAAAAAUACAACGUCUGCAAAUCUUGACUCGCUGAAUAAUGAUUUUGUUAUUCUCAAAUCAGAAGAUCCGAUAUUACAGAUACAUCUCAAUUUGAAGCCGGCACGACUGCAUGUUCAUCUUUUGACCCAGAAAUGAGGCUUGCCAAUCUUUGCAGUCAAGGAACCGCCCGUGCAGGCUUUCCUGCAUUGCAGCUCCGAGCCAAAACCUGGAUGUUUGAAGGGUUUUUUUCAGCUUUUAUCACAAGAAAACAAAAAGCAGAGAGGUGCGAUUCGUUGCCACGUGUACUUUGAUCCCUGUGUUAAAAACAAUGUACUGGAGAUGAUUCCCUAUUCGGGUAAAUAUCCGACAAACAAUGCCAGAGAGAAGCCAUUCUUCUGUCCAAAUAGAGGGGAAAUCCACACAAUUAUACACACUAAUACCCACAGGCAUAUCGGUUAUUGAGCUCCACUAACGCACAACACAAAUAAUUAAAACAAUGAGCCAAAUUGGAUAUCACUCUGCUUUAUAAUGCAGCUAAUUGAACAAAUUAACAAAUGAGCAAAAACACGGCACAAUACUGUGAACCGAGUUCAUUUCCAUUAAAUGAUAAAACAUUCCAGCCAAUUCAGUUCUUCUUCUUUUUUUUU
ensembl:lncRNA